GGGGAUUUAGCUGACUGGCAUAAGUACCUGCCUUGCAAGCAGGCGUUCCUGAGUUCAAUCCCCA
rfam:Cavia porcellus supercont2_9 genomic scaffold, whole genome shotgun sequence.